rnacentral:rRNA from 1 species
UACAGAGGGGGCAAGCGUUGUUCGGAAUUACUGGGCGUAAAGGGCUCGUAGGCGGCCAACUAAGUCGGAUGUGAAAUCCCCAGGCUUAACCUGGGAACUGCAUCCGAUACUGGAUGGCUUGAAUUCGGGAGAGGGAUGCAGAAUUCCAGGUGUAGCGGUGAAAUGCGUAGAUAUCUGGAGGAAUACCGGUGGCGAAGGCGGCAUCCUGGACCGACAUUGACGCUGAACGGCGAAAGCUAGGGGAGCAAACGGG